GAGUUUGAUCGUGGCUCAGAUUGAACGCUGGCGGCAUGCCUUACACAUGCAAGUCGAACGGCAGCAUGAUCUAGCUUGCUAGAUUGAUGGCGAGUGGCGAACGGGUGAGUAAUACAUCGGAACCGUGCCCUGUAGUGGGGGAUAACUAGUCGAAAGAUUAGCUAAUACCGCAUACGACCUGAGGGUGAAAGUGGGGGACCGCAAGGCCUCAUGCUAUAGGAGCGGCCGAUGUCUGAUUAGCUAGUUGGUGGGUAAAGGCCCACCAAGGCGACGAUCAGUAGCUGGUCUGAGAGGACGAUCAGCCACACUGGGACUGAGACACGGCCCAGACUCCUAC
rnacentral:rRNA from 1 species